rnacentral:rRNA from 1 species
AUGGAUCUCUUGGGAGAACAAUGGGUGCCUCCUGGACAUCUGCGCAAAUUUGGGUCACAUGUGCCCACCCAACUCUCUGCACUGCGAGGGUGGAUAGACAGAGACCCCUCGCAUCUCUCGAACCUCUCCGCGUUAAUCCUCGAUUCAGUGAAGGAAGUGCAACAGGAGGACAUGAAAAUCAUUGGGGGGCUGCUGUCCCUUCGGCGUCUUGUCAUAAAGAGCACCCACCAAACAGAACGGCUGAUAGUCGUCAGUGCAUAUGGGUUCCGCUAUAUGGUUGACUUUUGCUUGGACUGUGGAUCAGCAGCGCAGAUAAUGUUUGAACCAGGGGCUUUGCCAAGUGUGGAAGCAAUUGAGUUCAGCCUCAGCGUGGGGGUGGCGAAAGAGGAUGGUAAUGUCGAUUUCGACUUCGGUCUUCAAGGGAACAUGCUCUCCCUUCGGCGGUCUGUCUCUGUUGGUUUUUAUUUUGGUGGAGCGAGGGUUGUCGAGGCGAAGGAAGCGGAGGCUGCGGUGAGGCACGCGCUCCACGCCCACCCCAACCAACCGGAGAUUAAAAUUUCUGUUAAUCCACCCUUUGCAGAGGGUAUUGAGGAAUGGAUGUCCAGACCGAAUGAAGCGAAAUCAUCUUACGCUUGUUCAGGUUUGGACUUUGGGAGAAAUGCUCCUUCCUCGCUCAUAUACGGUGCUAGGCGCUGA